rnacentral:rRNA from 1 species
GAUGAACGCUGGCGGCAUGCUUAAUACAUGCAAGUCGAACGGAAAGGCCCUGCUUUUGUUUGGUUCUCGAGUGCCGCACGCGUGAGUAACACGUGUGUAACCCCUCCCUGUCUUUGUGAUAACUUUAGGGAACUGGGGCUAAUACCCCGUAGGAUCUCUUGCUGCAUGGUGUUGGUUGGUAAGUUUCGGUGGUUCGGUAUGUACUCGCGGCUUAUCAGCUUGUUGGUAAGGUAGUGGCUUACCCAGGAUACGAGGGAUAGCCGACCUGAGAGGGUGAACGGCCACACGGGAACGGAGAGACGGGCCAGACGCCGAAGGGAGGAAGCAGUAGGGAAUCGUCCGAAAUGGGCGAAAGCCGGAAGGAGCAACGCCGCGUGAGUGAUGAAGGUCUUCGGAGCGGAAAACUCUGGGAGUAGGGAAGAACAGAUGUGGAAGUAACUGUGCACAUCUUGACGGUACAUAAUCAGAAAGCCACGGCUAACUACGUG